rnacentral:rRNA from 1 species
CCUACGGGAGGCUGCAGUGGGGAAUCUUCCGCAAUGGGCGAAAGCCUGACGGAGCAACGCCGCGUGAGUGAAGAAGGUCUUCGGAUCGUAAAGCUCUGUUGUCGGGGACGAAAGGAAAGGGGAGGCAAUGCCCUUUUCAAGACGGUACCUGACGAGGAAGCCACGGCUAACUACGUGCCAGCAGCCGCGGUAAUACGUAGGCGGCAAGCGUUGUCCGGAAUUAUUGGGCGUAAAGGGAGCGCAGGUGGGACGGUAAGUCCGUCUUAAAAGGCAGGGGCUCAGCCCCUGUAAGGGAUGGAAACUAUCGAUCUUGAGUGCCGGAGAGGAAAGCGGAAUUCCCAGUGUAGCGGUGAAAUGCGUAGAUAUUGGGAAGAACACCAGUGGCGAAGGCGGCUUUCUGGACGGCAACUGACACUGAGGCUCGAAAGCCAGGGGAGCGAACGGGAUUAGAUACCCCAGUAGUC